rnacentral:lncRNA from 14 species
CCUGUUUUCAAUAGACAGAUAACACUGCUGAACUCCACAUAUUUUAUCCUUCAGGAUACCUUUCCCAAACAUGGCAUUUUCUAAUUACAAGGACCCGAAUCGGUACCGCGAAUAGGCCUUUAUUAAACAUUAUGUCACUGCACGAUCACUUCCUUUCCACCUCUGCAGCCGGCCUUUUAAUGGCUUUGCCGUAUGACCAGCAUUUCUGGAGGCUUCCACGUUUCCCGCAGGCUCUUUGGCACAUCCAUUAAUCCCUGUUAAUUUUUCAUCCGCCUUGAUAAGGGUGCGAGCGGAGCUUUUAGGGGUCAAAACCUCACUGCCCCUGCUACCUGACAGAGACCCACUCGCUCCCACAGCCGGCACCGAAGCCGCGUCGGUGAACGGAUGGGUGAACGGAGUGCCUGUGUGGAACAGUGGAUUGUGGCAGAAGGGACUCAGCUGCUGCUUGGAGGAAUAGGCAGCAACAGAAAGCCCCAGAAAAAUAAAAGGCCUCCUCCACUCUCACUGGGAGGAAUGGGUGAAUGAUGAAGACAUCGCGCAGUCCAGCCUGUUUUUCCGAAGAAAAUGAUGCAUAGAUGACGAAAAUCUCAACCACACGCUCAGCUUUCUCUUGGUGCUGGCGAUUUCACUGCUUAUUUCAGGCUCUAGCAUGAUAACGUCACUUCUGCAUGGUUCCAGGAGAGCUGAAGUAAACACUCCCAUGCAGUGCUCUGAGAGCCCACAUACAGUGGCUCAUGCUUGUUCUGCCAACAGAGCUGUUUCAUCCCAG